rnacentral:rRNA from 1 species
ACGUAGGGGGCAAGCGUUGUCCGGAAUCAUUGGGCGUAAAGCGCGUGUAGGCGGCCGUGCAAGUCGGGUGUGAAAGCCCUCGGCUCAACCGAGGAAGUGCGCCCGAAACUGCAGAGCUUGAGUACCGGAGAGGGUGGCGGAAUUCCCCAAGUAGAGGUGAAAUUCGUAGAUAUGGGGAGGAACACCGGUGGCGAAGGCGGCCACCUGGACGGUCACUGACGCUGAGACGCGAAAGCGUGGGUAGCAAACAGGA